rnacentral:rRNA from 1 species
UGUAGGAAGACUGCCCUAUGGGUUGUAAACUACUUUUAUACAGGAAGAAUAAGAUCUACGUGUAGAUUGAUGCCGGUACUGUAAGAAUAAGGACCGGCUAACUCCGUGCCAGCAGCCGCGGUAAUACGGAGGGUCCGAGCGUUAUCCGGAAUUAUUGGGUUUAAAGGGUCCGUAGGCGGGCUGUUAAGUCAGAGGUGAAAUGCUGCGGUUCAACCGUAUGCACUGCCUUUGAUACUGGCGGUCUUGAGUUAUAGUGAAGU